rnacentral:rRNA from 1 species
UACGGAGGGGGCGAGCGUUGUCCGGAAUCAUUGGGCGGAAAGCGCGUGUAGGCGGCUCGGCAAGUCUGCUGUGAAAGUCCAGGGCUCAACCCUGGGAUGCCGGUGGAUACUGUCGAGCUCGAGUCCGGAAGAGGCGAGUGGAAUUCCUGGUGUAGCGGUGAAAUGCGCAGAUAUCAGGAGGAACACCAAUGGCGAAGGCAGCUCGCUGGGACGUGACUGACGCUGAGACGCGAAAGCGUGGGGAGCAAACAGG